GCGCCCAUAGCUCAGCUGGAUAGAGCAUCGGAUUUCUAAUCCGCAGGUCAGGGGUUCGAAUCCCUUUGGGCGCGCCA
rnacentral:tRNA from 1 species